AGUUAUCCAUACGUGGCAUCCGGUACCCACGUUGAAGAGCCACCAUGACAUCAGAAUUACUCAUACCUAAAACAAGGAAGACAAUACGUCUUCCUGGGAUGUGCAGUGUGUCAGAACAGACAGGGUGAAGCCAUGGCUCCAUAUGAAGCAAGCUGUAGUGCCCUGAAAGAUGGUUUGGUUCUCCUGCAUACCAGUCCACUGGAGAAAAACCUGAUGAUUUCCUGAAUCACACAGCUCAAUAAUGAACAUAUAGAAGAACUCCACUUCACCAUGGGCUUGACCUUGCAAAAUGAUCCACCCCCUGACCACAAU